GAUGAACGCUGGCGGCGUGCCUAAUACAUGCAAGUCGAACGCUUCACUUCGGUGAAGAGUGGCGAACGGGUGAGUAAUACAUAAGUAACCUGGCAUCUACAGGGGGAUAACUGAUGGAAACGUCAGCUAAGACCGCAUAGGUGUAGAGAUCGCAUGAACUCUAUAUGAAAAGUGCUAUGGGACUGGUAGAUGAUGGACUUAUGGCGCAUUAGCUUGUUGGUAGGGUAACGGCCUACCAAGGCGACGAUGCGUAGCCGACCUGAGAGGGUGACCGGCCACACUGGGACUGAGACACGGCCCAGACUCCUACGGGAGGCAGCAGUAGGGAAUUUUCGGCAAUGGGGGAAACCCUGACCGAGCAACGCCGCGUGAAGGAAGAAGUAAUUCGUUAUGUAAACUUCUGUCAUAGAGGAAGAACGGUGGAUAUAGGGAAUGAUAUCCAAGUGACGGUACUCUAUAAGAAAGCCACGGCUAACUACGUGCCAGCAGCCGCGGUAAUACGUAGGUGGCGAGCGUUAUCCGGAAUUAUUGGGCGUAAAGAGGGAGCAGGCGGCACUAAGGGUCUGUGGUGAAAGAUCGAAGCUUAACUUCGGUAAGCCAUGGAAACCGUAGAGCUAGAGUGUGUGAGAGGAUCGUGGAAUUCCAUGUGUAGCGGUGAAAUGCGUAGAUAUAUGGAGGA
rnacentral:rRNA from 1 species